UACGAAGGGGGCUAGCGUUGCUCGGAUUGACUGGGCGUAAAGGGCGCGUAGGCGGUUCGUACAGUCAGACGUGAAAUUCCUGGGCUCAACCUGGGGGCUGCGUUUGAUACGUGCGGACUUGAGUGCGGAAGAGGGUCGUGGAAUUCCCAGUGUAGAGGUGAAAUUCGUAGAUAUUGGGAAGAACACCGGUGGCGAAGGCGGCGACCUGGUCCGAUACUGACGCUGAGGCUGCGAAAGCGUGGGGAGCAAACAGG
rnacentral:rRNA from 1 species